rnacentral:rRNA from 1 species
UACGUAGGGGGCAAGCGUUGUCCGGAAUUAUUGGGCGUAAAGCGCGCGCAGGCGGUCCUUUAAGUCUUGUGUUUAAGCCCGGGGCUCAACCUCGGCUCGCAUGGGAAACUGGGGGACUGGAGUGCAGGAGAGGAAAGUGGAAUUCCACGUGUAGCGGUGAAAUGCGUAGAGAUGUGGAGGAACACCAGUGGCGAAGGCGACUUUCUGGCCUGUAACUGACGCUGAGGCGCGAAAGCGUGGGGAGCAAACAGG